GACGAACGCUGGCGGCGUGCUUAACACAUGCAAGUCGAACGAAGUGGCGAACGGGUGAGUAACGCGUAAUAAACCUGCCCUUCAGAGGGGGACAACAGUUGGAAACGACUGCUAAUACCGCAUAGUGAAGGAGGGGAUUGCGUCUGAUUAGCUGGUUUGCGGGGUAACGGCCCACCAAGGCGAUGAUCAGUAGCCGGUCUGAGAGGAGUAACGGCCACAUUGGGACUGAGACACGGCCCAGACUCCUACGGGGAGCAGCAGUGGGGAAUCUGCCGCAAUGGACGAAAGUCUGACGGAGCAACGCCGCGUUAGGGAUGACGGCCUUCGGGUUGUAAAGCUCUGUUAAUCGGGACGCGGUACCGGAAUAGAAAGCCACGGCUAACUACGUGCCAGCCGCCGCGGUAAUUC
rnacentral:rRNA from 1 species